rnacentral:rRNA from 1 species
GACGUAGGGCGCGAGCGUUGUCCGGAUUUAUUGGGCGUAAAGAGCUCGUAGGCGGCUUGUCGCGUCGUCCGUGAAAACCUGCGGCUCAACUGCAGGCUGGCGGUCGAUACGGGCAGGCCGGAGUUCGGUAGGGGAGACUGGAAUUCCUGGUGUAGCGGUGAAAUGCGCAGAUAUCAGGAGGAACACCGGUGGCGAAGGCGGGUCCCUGGGCCGAUACUGACGCUGAGGAGCGAAAGCGUGGGGAGCGAACAGG